UNUGACUUGAGUGCAGAAGGGGAGAGUGGAAUUCCAUGUGUAGCGGUGAAAUGCGUAGAUAUAUGGAGGANCACCAGUGGCGAAAGCGGCUCUCUGGUCUGUCACUGACGCUGAGGCUCGAAAGCGUGGGUAGCGAACAGGAUUAGAUACCCUGGUAGUCCACGCCGUAAACGAUGAGUGCUAGGUGUUAGGCCCNUUCCGGGGCUUAGUGCCGGAGCUAACGCAAUAAGCACUCCGCCUGGGGAGUACGACCGCAAGGUUGAAACUCAAAGGAAUUGACGGGGGCCCGCACAAGCGGUGGAGCAUGUGGUUUAGUUCGAAGCAACGCGAAGAACCUUACCAGGUCUUGACAUCCCGAUGCUAUUCUUAGAGAUAGGAAGUUACUUCGGUACAUCGGAGACAGGUGGUGCAUGGUUGUCGUCAGCUCGUGUCGUGAGAUGUUGGGUUAAGUCCCGCAACGAGCGCAACCCUUAUUGUUAGUUGCCAUCAUUAAGUUGGGCACUCUAGCGAGACUGCCGGUAAUAAACCGGAGGAAGGUGGGGAUGACGUCAAAUCAUCAUGCCCCUUAUGACCUGGGCUACACACGUGCUACAAUGGUCGGUACAACGAGUUGCGAGCCGGUGACGGCAAGCUAAUCUCUGAAAGCCGAUCUCAGUUCGGAUUGGAGGCUGCAACUCGCCUCCAUGAAGUCGGAAUCGCUAGUAAUCGCGGAUCAGCACGCCGCGGUGAAUACGUUCCCGGGCCUUGUACACACCGCCCGUCACACCACGAGAGUUUGUAACACCCGAAGUCGGUGAGGUAACCUUUUAGGGGCCAGCCGC
rnacentral:rRNA from 1 species